GCAACCGGGGUAGUAUACAGUUAUUGUCUCGAAACCCAAAGAGUUUGGCGGUAUCUCAGUCUAGUUAGAGGAGCUUGUUCGGUAAUCGAUAAUCCGCGAAAAAUCUUACGUAUUUUUGUAGUCAGUUUAUAUACCGUCGUUAUUAGAUAAUAUUACAAAAUAAACAAUUAUCAAAAUAUAUUAAAAUAUAAUAUAUCAGAUCAAGGUGUAGCUUAUGAAUACGUCUGAAUGAGCUACAAUUUAAUCAAAUAAAAACGGAUUUUAUUUUCAAAUAAAUAAUUGAAGGUGGAUUUAAUAGUAAUUGUAGUUUUAGUAAGU
rnacentral:rRNA from 1 species